CCUCAAGAUGAGAUUUCCCAUUUCUUUAAGAAAGUAAGAUCCCUGAGAGAUGAUCAGGUAGAUAGGUCAGGAGUGGAAGUACAGUGAUGUAUGGAGCGGACUGAUACUAAUCGAUCGAGGACUUAACCAAU
rnacentral:rRNA from 1 species